AUUGAACGCUGGCGGCAGGCCUAACACAUGCAAGUCGAACGAGUGGCGGACGGGUGAGUAAUGUCUGGGAAACUGCCUGAUGGAGGGGGAUAACUACUGGAAACGGUAGCUAAUACCGCAUACCAUCGGAUGUGCCCAGAUGGGUUUAGCUAGUGGGUGUGGUAACGGCUCACCAAGGCGAAGAGCCCUACCUGGUCUGAGAGGAUGACCAGCCACACUGGAACUGAGACACGGCCCAGACUCCUACGGGAGGCAGCAGUGGGGAAUAUUGAGAAAUGGGCGCAAGCCUGAUGCAGCCAGGCCGCGUGAAUGAAGAAGGCCUUCGGGUUGUAAAGUACUUUCAGCGGGGAGGCGUUACUCGCAGAAGAAGCACCGGCUAACUCCGUGCCAGCAGCCGCGGUAAUAC
rnacentral:rRNA from 1 species